UACAGAGGGGGCAAGCGUUGUUCGGAAUUACUGGGCGUAAAGGGCUCGUAGGCGGCCAACUAAGUCAGACGUGAAAUCCCUAGGCUCAACCUAGGAACUGCGUCUGAUACUGGAUGGCUUGAAUCCGGGAGAGGGAUGCAGAAUUCCAGGUGUAGCGGUGAAAUGCGUAGAUAUCUGGAGGAAUACCGGUGGCGAAGGCGGCAUCCUGGACCGGCAUUGACGCUGAGGAGCGAAAGCCAGGGGAGCAAACGGG
rnacentral:rRNA from 1 species